AUCAUAAACUGAUGCAAUUACAAUGUCAUAUGCCAUUAAACAUAACAUUUAUUUACACAAUCUCUCACGUUGUAGCGACUACGGCAAAUCAGCUGUUCUUCCGUAGUAGACCGUUACAGUAGAACGUCGCAAAAUAGCAGUUAAAUUCGCGCAUGCGCAAUACAACGCCAGAAUGCCGUUGCCGUUCCACCAGAGGCUGUUGCUUAAAGUCCCUAUUAUACGGGACAACGGCGCCUCACCUCGGCCAGUGUCUCUGAAAAUCUCCGCUGGCUGUGACGUCAAUGUAGUGUUUAAACUGUGGAUAAAAUUCAUUUCGGGUAAAUUUAACGGGCAAUCUUUGGUCUUAUAAGUCUAUAAGCAGUGUUUCUUUGUAUAAUUUGUUUGUAAUUUGUAAAUAUUAAUUAAAAUAAGGAUUAAUAUGAACUGGGUUUGGACGUAACUUCAGCUUUAGGACCCAGGAGGUCGCAUAUCUAGGAUGCAUUCGUCGAUUCGCAUGCUGCGAUUGGUGGUCCAGAUGCAACUCAUUUUGAGUGACAGAAAAACUGACCAAUCAUACUGUUCCUCUGAAUGGGUGGGUUCUUUUAUCACUAACUCUCAUAGAUAUGUAAUAUCUAACGUUUUGUAUCUAUUAUGACAAAUUCUGCCCGCUCGCUCGCUUGGUUCGUGUUUUGAAGAUAAAUGUGACUUUACUGCGGUCUUUUUCGGUUUAUUCAGUUUUGUGUUAAUUAUAUCCACAAAGUAUUACAAUAAAUUGGUAAUGUAAAACUAUUCUCCGCUGUAAAUUAAUUGUGUGCUCAAUUGCGACGCCCUGUGUUGAAUUUUCCCGCGGAAAACAUGAACCAUUUCUGACUGAAAUGUUUGACAAAGGCCUCUUACUGGAGUACAGUAUCAUUACUGAGGGGAAAUAUAACAUUAUUCAUUUAAUUCCACAAAAGGCCUGUAACGUACUGCAGCUUCCUGCAGGCAACGUGAAACAUUGCUGAGGGAGAACUUUAUUCACAACAAAAGGAUAAAGAUGAAGAGGCGGGACUUGAGCAGCUUGUGAUGGCUGUAAUUGUAAAGAAUGGAUCUUCUAGGAGUGGCAGCCCAAAGGAUGCUGGAAUUGUUAUCGAGGCCUUAAAGGUGUUCCCAGGGCAGGCUUUAUCCUCCUUGGAUUGGAUUGGAUCAGUAUCCCAGGCAUCUUUUCAAAUGUUUCAGAAACUUUUCUUGGAGCAGGAUUCUUCAAAACUUAUAAUAAACUGAUUAUAGUACAGUAAGUCUAAACUGCUGUCUGAUUUUCUGGGUGUGAAUCAAUGUAACAGAACACAAACAUGGAACCUUUCGUCUGGAAAUGUGGACGGUUCUCUUUAAAGACUGUAAAAUACUUUUUGUACACUGUUACAAAUACACCAUUAAAAAUGAGAUGCUUUUCUGUUCUUUUGACUGCAAUAAAAUAAGAAUUGAUUCAUCUUUGUCUGUCAUUCUGAAAUCAGAUAUAAUACUCAUUACUAAUAAAAAUAUUAAUGUAUGAUGUUAAAUUAAAAUAGUAUAAUUGAAUAGUAUUUAUUGUAUAGUGCUAGGUCUUUGUCCUGUAUACCCAAUAUUUUGUUUAAAUUUAAAUUAAUUUCUAGUUGCAAAUUGCAGAUUACCUUUUUGAAUGGGUUACUAUUAAAGAGUUUAUGGAUUGAUUCUAACUCAAUUUUUAUUUGUUGAAUUUAAUUAAUGAUAUUGCUUGUAAUCUGUUGCCACACUUUUAUUGAGUAGAUAUGGCAUAAUAUUUUUAUUGUAUAGUGCUAGAUCUUUGUCUAGUAU